ensembl:miRNA MIR4763 microRNA 4763
CCUGUCCCUCCUGCCCUGCGCCUGCCCAGCCCUCCUGCUCUGGUGACUGAGGACCGCCAGGCAGGGGCUGGUGCUGGGCGGGGGGCGGCGGG